rnacentral:rRNA from 1 species
GCUACACACGUGCUACAAUGGACAAUACAAAGGGCAGCGAAACCGCGAGGUCAAGCAAAUCCCAUAAAGUUGUUCUCAGUUCGGAUUGUAGUCUGCAACUCGACUACAUGAAGCUGGAAUCGCUAGUAAUCGUAGAUCAGCAUGCUACGGUGAAUACGUUCCCGGGUCUUGUACACACCGCCCGUCACACCACGAGAGUUUGUAACACCCGAAGCCGGUGGAGUAACCUUUUAGGAGCUAGCCGUCGAAGGUGGGACAAAUGAUUGGGGUGAAGUCGUAACAAGGUAGCCGUAUCGGAAGGUGCGGCUGGAUCACCUCCUUU